GUUGGCACCGAACCACUAUAAAUCCUUGUGUUUAUGGUGUGCUUUAUUGUUUCUCUUUAUUUCUUUAUUAUAUCCUUGCUUUCUUGCUUUAGGUAAUUAAUCUUGAUUUAAAGUCUUUCUUCUCAUUCAUCAAGCUUUUAACAAAUACUUUUCAUAAGUAAUUAGUUGAGCUUAAAAUUUUUAAAAACCCAAUUCACCCCCCCCUCUUGGGUUGCAUAGCUGGGCAACACAUGGGCAGUCUUUGGGUAGUUCGGUACGUCCACAACACAUGAUAAAGUUCAUCUGCCCAAGUUUCCUUCGCUCUUUCGAGCCUUGUCUUGAUUCCUUGCAGCAGAGUUCUAU
rnacentral:lncRNA from 1 species